UGAGGAACCUAUCCCAGUCUCUGGAAUAACAGGUGGAAACACCUGCUAAUACCGGAUACCGCUGGACCAUCGCAUGGUGGACCAACGAAAGAUUUAUCGGAUUGGGAGGCCUCGCGGCCUAUCAGCUUGUUGGUGAGGCAACGGCUCACCAAGGCGUCGACGGGUAGCUGGUCUGAGAGGAUGAUCAGCCACGACCGGGACUGAGACCACGGCCCAGACCUCCCGUAGGGACG
rnacentral:rRNA from 1 species